UCCGACCCAUGGUCCGAUGAAGCGUGUUAACUUGCCAAAAUGUAAUGAUCACACAAAAAGGAAAACAUUUUUGUUUCUGAAUGUUAAUUGAGUUGCACAUUUCUUUUAAGAUCUUCAGUUAUCUGCACUAAUUGAGUAUGUAUCUCAAAGGUAAAAGCAUUUCAAAUCAUUGUGCGACCGGAGUCUGGUAAAUACACUCUCCCGUUCCCAGUCACUAAAAAGUUUAUUGAGUACUCUUCCUCCAAAGUCCCAUAAUGCUCCACCCAAUUCAGUAUCACCAUAGAUAUAAAAAGUGAUGCAGGCACUUGAGUGAGAGGGGAAGGAGAAGUCGAGGAGGAAUUAAUAGUCGGAUACACUAUAAAGCAAUCAGGAUUAAGGGACUCUGUUUUUUUUUUCAUUGUGGGUUUGAGAGAACUUGAGAAAGGGGCUCUACUUUUAUAAUGUGCGGCAGUUCAGGGAAAGAUCUGUAGAUUUUGUCUGUGAAUGUUUUACCUCCGCCAACACGGUCCUAAAUGACUGAAAACCGGGGUUUAAACCCCUAAAAGCGGCUUCUCGAUUCUCUCUAAACGAACAGUUCUAGAUUUGAGCAUAAAGUUGAUUUUAGAAUUUCAUUUUUUGAAAGUGGUUUUAUGUGCGCAGUGAUUGGUCAGUGUGGACGCCUCUUAAAAGCGUUAGUGAGCGUUUAUUUAACGCCAAAAACCUGCACCAGACAGCAAUCCCAGCAGCCCUUGAAUGAGAGAGACAGAGACAGAGAGAGAGAGAGAGAGAGAGAGUCCUUGGGCUGGACAUUGUACUUGACGUUUUAAUUUACUGACACAUUAUUGCCUGACAGAAGAAAAAAAAAAACUUCACUUCAGUAAAGACGUGACAUGAAUUCUCCGGCCGGUUUCUCCUGAACUCUUCAAAGGCCUGCGUCUCAGUGGCGAUUUAUUUUAUUUUAUAUUUUUUUCGCAGCUGAGUCAUCCUGCGCUGCUGCAGCGGCGUGACUCCUGACAAUGCGGCGCCUGCGACGCAUCGCAUGCGACGCGACGCAGGAAACGCCGCAGCGGCCGCAUGCGAUUCAGCCACUCUGCACUCUGUACAGCUGGGUACAGAGUGAAGCAAGCUGAGAUUGGGCACCAUAGCACUGUGCCCCAGCUGGGAUUCAAACCUGCAGCCUCUGCUGCAUGCCCGGGUUGCCUGACCGCUAUGCUACGCUGCUGAACCUACGGCGGGAUAAUCCCCGGGUAGCGUGUGGGAAGAAACCUCGGGAGGAACAAGGUUUUUAAAAGCAGUCUAAAGUAGUCCCUGAUUGGUCGCUUGGUUGGAAAUGCGCCGGUUCGUUUAAACGUUAAAGCCAGUUCAUCUCACGUGCCUCUAAACCCCACCCCGCCCAAACUCAUUUUCCCAUAAUGCUUCAGUCGCCCCUCUAACCCCCAUCCAUCCGAGCUGUCAGCAUGCGCCUGUUUUAUUAGCUGCUAAAAAGCGGGGAGACUGAUAUACAGCGCCGAGGUUGUGAAAGGUGAAAGGUCACAGGCUGGAGCUAAUCACGUCUUUCCCUCAGACUGGGUUAUAAAUAUCGCCAACGGGAGACUCCAGGGCAGCCGCCGGGGGGGGGGGGGGGUCGGGGGGGCUCCUGUCUCCCCCAGUGCCCAGCCGUUCCGUCUAGCAUGUUCACAAACCGAGCACGUGCUUGGUGUCUGUCAAAACACGGCACUGCCUUUUCCCUGUUAGUGCUGUCACUCAAGCCUGAGCAGGUUAGCGAGACUCAGGUGAGACUGUACCUGUGUGACGCUCGGGUGAGACUGUACCUGUGUGAGACUGUACCUGUGUGAGAUUCAGGUGAGACUGUAUCAGUGUGAGAUUCAGGUGAGACUGUACCUUUGUGAGAUUCAGGUGAGACUGUAUCAGUGUGAGAUUCAGGUGAGACUGUACCUGUGUGACACUCGGAUGAGACUGUACCUUUGUGAGACUGUACCUGUGUGACACUCGGAUGAGACUGUACCUGUGUGAGAUUCAGGUGAGACUGUAUCAGUGUGAGAUUCAGGUGAGACUGUAUCAGUGUGAGAUUCAGGUGAGACUGUAUCAGUGUGAGAUUCAGGUGAGACUGUAUCAGUGUGAGAUUCAGGUGAGACUGUAUCAGUGUGAGAUUCAGGUGAGACUGUAUCAGUGUGAGAUUCAGGUGAGACUGUAUCAGUGUGAGAUUCAGGUUUGACUGGACCAGUGUGAGAUUCAGGUGAGACUGUAUCAGUGUGAGAUUCAGGUGAGACUGUAUCAGUGUGAGAUUCAGGUGAGACUGUAUCAGUGUGAGAUUCAGGUUUGACUGGACCAGUGUGAGAUUCAGGUGAGACUGUAUCAGUGUGAGAUUCAGGUGAGACAGUAUCAGUGUGAGAUUCAGGUGAGACUAUCAGUGUGAGAUUCAGGUUUGACUGGACCAGUGUGAGAUUCAGGUGAGGCUGUAUCAGUAUGAGAUUCAGGUGAGACUGUAUCAGUGUGAGAUUCAGGUGAGACUGUAUCAGUGUGGGAUUCAGGUUUGACUGGACCAGUGUGAGAUUCAGGUGAGACUGUAUCAGUAUGAGAUUCAGGUGAGACAGUAUCAGUGUCAGAAUGAGAUGAGACUCUAUCAGUGUGAGAUUCAGGUGAGACUGUAUCAGUGUGAGAUUCAGGUGAGACUGUAUCAGUGUGAGAUUCAGGUGAGACUGUACCAGCGUGAGAUUCAGGUGAGACUGUACCUGUAAAUCUUAGGUGAGAGUGUACCAGCGUGAGGCACACACUGUUCCAUACCACUUUGAAGCUUUGAUCACCUUGCUCUUUAGGAAAUUUCCCAGCAGUGGGCUCUGAUUGGUUGUUCCCUGAUCGAUGCUACCAGAACAUGUAGCCUUCUUUUGUAGAGAGAGAGAGAGAGCGAGCGAUCACAAAGCCAUACAUGGAGGAAAUGGCAAUUUAGUCCCCACUAUUUCAGUUUAGAAAUAUGUUUUAACGAAUUGAAAGGAAACAACCGAAAAAAAAAACAACCUAAAACGUCCCUAAAAAGCCCCUUACCCAAUUCUAUUUGUUCUCGUUGGCGAAAGCUCUUGAAUGUACCGAUCGGAGACGUAGAGGGAGUCUCGCGGCGGACCUCGGUAGUCCGGCUUCUUUGGCGAGUGAGGCCACGGCGUCAGCGCACCGGAAGCCAUAAAUCUGCACUUAAGCGGCACUUAAGUCCCCUGUAAACUAAGCCCGUUAGCCCCUUAGCCCGUUAGCUCGUUAGCCCCUUAGCCCAUUAGCUUGUUAGCCCGUUAGCCCUGUUGGGUUUUUCAAGCACCCUCUCUCACCCAAGCAGUGUUGGUCCUUGAGUAUUUUUUCUUUAAAAAAAAAAAAAAAAUCCUUUAUUGAAUGUAUGGCCGUCAAAUUUUUUUUUUUUUUUUUGUAAUUGCACUGGCCGAGCUGAAAUUAAGAAAGCGUGCUGAGCUUUUUGCUCGUCUGCCCGUCAAGAGUUAAACGCGUCCCGUUUUUGUUUUAUAAAUGUUUAAAACAAAGAAGAAAGAAAAAAAACGUUUUUUUUUUAAACUGCUCCUCAGGGCACUGCCUUCUCGACCUUGUGCCAAAAUCAUUCUGUGGGAUUUCGCCGUUUACUGCUCUAAGUUUACAGAGACAAACACCCCGUCCUGCAAGGCCACCGUACUUAAGUAAGGGGGUAAUAUUCUAUUUUGGGGGAAGUCUUUGUUCAUUUUAAAUGUUUUUUUUUUUCUCUUCUUUUUUUUUUUUUUUUUUUAAAGAAUGACUUGUUUUGGAAGCUGUAUUGGAUACAUUUUUUAUUUAAAACCUUGUAAUUUUGUAAAGUGGGCCUUGUUUAAAUAUAUUGUUAUUUUUCUUUUGUUUUGAAUCUCUUUUAAUGCACUCCUGGGGAGUCUUUUUGCUUGUUCUUCUGUUAUUUCUAAAGUUAAAAAAAACAGCUCUCCUGACGUUCAAGAGACAUGCAGAAAUGGAUUGUCACAGAAAAGCUUGUAUUACACGGUUAUUUUCAAACAAAUGUAUUUUUCAUUUUUCAGAAGUCGAACUGCUCUGAAACAUCGAAAUCAUCAGAAACCAUCCGUCUUCCUGGGUUAUUAAUGUCUCCUCAUGAAUUCAGGGUUCAUAUUCUGUACUGUAUCUAGUGGGUGCUGCCAAAGAAAGAAGUUCAGGCCUGUAAACACACACACACGUACACGCACACACACACACACAUGCACACACACGUACAUGCACGGACACGUACGCAUGCAUACACACACACAUGCACACACAUGCACGCACACGCGCACACACACACACACACACACAAUGACUUGCCUGACAGAUAAACUGACUUGUACAGACCAGUAAGUGAGCCUGACCCGAAGCUAACCAGUUUUGCUGUUUAGAUUUUUUUUUUUUUUUU